CCUACGGAGUGCAGCAGUGGGGGAUAUUGCACAAUGGGGGGAACCCUGAUGCAGCGACGCCGCGUGGGUGAAGAAGCGCCUCGGCGCGUAAAGCCCUGUCAGCAGGGAAGAAAAUGACGGUACCUGAAGAAGAAGCCCCGGCUAACUACGUGCCAGCAGCCGCGGUAAUACGUAGGGGGCAAGCGUUAUCCGGAUUUACUGGGUGUAAAGGGGGCGCAGACGGCGAUGCAAGCCAGGAGUGAAAGCCCGGGGCACAACCCCGGGACUGCUCUUGGAACUGCGUGGCUGGAGUGCAGGAGGGGCAGGCGGAAGUCCUGGUGUAGCGGUGAAAUGCGUAGAUAUCAGGAGGAACACCGGUGGCGAAGGCGGCCUGCUGGACUGCAACUGACGUUGAGGCCCGAAAGCGUGGGGAGCAAACAGGAUUAGAUACCCCAGUAGUC
rnacentral:rRNA from 1 species